rnacentral:rRNA from 1 species
GCUAGUAGGUAAGGUAACGGCUUACCUAGGCAACGAUAGAUAGGGGNCCUGAGAGGGGGAUCCCCCACACUGGUACUGAGACACGGACCAGACUCCUACGGGAGGCAGCAGUGAGGAAUAUUGGACAAUGGAGGCAACUCUGAUCCAGCCAUGCCGCGUGCAGGAAGACUGCCCUAUGGGUUGUAAACUGCUUUUAUACAGGAAGAAACCACUCUACGUGUAGAGUUCUGACGGUACUGUAAGAAUAA